AGUCAAACUUUCAACGGUUGGAAGUCAUUAUCUUCUCGUCUUUUCAAAUCACCUAUCCCAUCACUUCCAUCCGUCUGACGAUAGCUCUUCCCAAAAUUUGCUCUCUUUGCUAUCUACUUGUACAUCAGAAUCUUCCCUUAUCUUUUCAAUCUGGAUUUCUUGCCCAUAGUUCUGUUACCCCCCCCCCCCAUUCAGGCGGUUCAACUCUCCAUCCUCGAGGUAAGUUCUUUCACUUCUCUUUAAUGUUGUCUUCGCAAUGUUGUGAGCACUCGUGUUCUUCAUUUUUGGAAUGUGCUUGAACUCUAUCUUCUGAAAGCCCAAUUUCUUAGCCUGAAUAUCUCUGAUAAUUGCUCCAAUAACUGAAUAAUUGAUUGUGGUUAACUGGCAUUUCUUUACUACUGUUAAUGAAUCUCCCUGUAUUUAUAUCUCCUGGAAGCCUAUCUCGAUUCCUAACUUAACUGCUUCUAAACCCGCAUAUGCUUCUGCUGCAAACGGAGAAGCAAUAUCAUAAUGAAUGAAUGAUUUUGAAGCCAAAUAUUCGUUCGUUUUUCCCCAAACCACCAGCCCAGUCGCCGAUCUGUAAUUUCUAGAGUCAAACACAGCAUCAAACUGGAUCUUUAUAAUCGGUAAGUUCUCCUUAGUUCUUUGAUGACACACCAUAUUCAAUAGACUCUUCUUGGCUCUGACCCCUUCAUAUUCUACGACGAGGUUCUGGACUUUUUGUGUAAGAUCAACACCUUUUGAAUAAACUCUUUCAUGCACGACCUGAUUUCUCGCGUACCAAAGCAACCAUGAAGCAUAGCAAAAAUAUCUGCACUGUUCAUCUGUUCCUUGUUCGAAGACCAUGGACAUUGCCUAAAAAUGUAUAGCAGUCUUCUUCCCCAAAACCACAUCGAGGACAAACAACAUUCGUCACUAUUCUUCUCUGUCUAAGAUUUGCUAAAGUAGGGAUGUAAUUCCAGGCAAUGCGCCAGAUGAUAAUUGUAAUCUUAGAUGGUGGUUGUAGAUUCCAUAGCUUUUCAAAAAAUUUCUCCAGAAUAUCCUACAUCAAUCAACUGACAUUCCUCCAAAGUUCUCCAGAAUAGAUCCAUUCUUUGUUCAUCCCUAGAUAAGCCGCCUUUCUUCUCAGAACCAUACAUUAUUUCAUUAAAGUCCCCACAAACCAACCACGGUAUGUAAUUAUCAGGAUCUAGGCAUUUCAAUACUUCUCAUGAAUCGUUCUUAUCGUGUGCAUAAGGAGACCGAUAGAAACCCGUGAAUCUCUAUUUUUCUCAUAUGUCAGCGUCCUCAGUCUCCACAUCAAUGUCUUUUUGAGAAAGAUCAAAGUUAAAUCGAGACAUCUGUUCUCUAUGCCAUACAUAAGCCUCCUCGAUUACCCUCUGAAUCAACCUCCAAACCAUAGAAAAAUCCUCAUUUCCGCCGCACCUGUUCCAUCUUUCUUUUUUCCAACUUAGUCUCCAUAAAGAAGACAAUUUGGGGAUUAUGCAUUUUCAGCGUAUGCUGCAGUCGUCGAAUUGUCCGUGGUCUCCCCAAACCACGGACAUUCCAACUUAGAAUUUUCAUUGUGACCUGUCAGUUUGCCUCUUGGCAACCAUUGAUAUUGAGUGAUUGAUCUCCACUAGUCUUCUAUUCCUUACCAAUAAGUUGUCAGUUUCCUUUCCUACCGCUACAUCUUCUAAAGCUCCUCUAGCUAUCUUCUUCCCUUCUUCACCAAUUAUUACUCCCUCCUCUAGAUCAUGCUCCAUAACUGUAUUCAUCCAAUCCGAUGUCUUAUUUUCUUUUUGUAGAUAAAGAUUUGAUGACCCCCCUUCCAGAUUAAAACCUAAGAUUGGACCAAUAACCUUUCCUGCCCUUAUAGUAUUAUCAGCACCCCAUAUUCUAUUCGUUGAACCUCGAAUAUACCACUUUUCCCCUUCACUUUUACCAUUGUCAUCCUCCCUAAGCCAGAUACUAUUUAUUGAUAAGGCUGUACGUGAUUGAGCGCGUAGGGAAAGAUCUCAACCUUGUUCAGCAACCUCCACCCUAAUCAGCAUUUUAGCUUCACAAAAUGAAUCAUUAUGACCCAACUGACCAUAAUAGAAGCAAAAUAAAGAUAAUCGUUCAUAUCUAAAUUUGACAUAUGAACAUCUUCCAUUAAAUAGGACCUGUUUUUUCCUUUUUAACGGUUUUCUAAUAUCAAUCUGAGCCCUUAUACGCAUAUAAUUUCGAUUUUCCUUUACCAAGUUUGCUCGAUCGUAUUCCAAAAAUAUCCCCAAAAAAAUUACCCAAUUGUGAGGCUAAUUUUUUUGAAUAUAAACCAACUGGAACAUCAUGAAUUUGAAUCCAAAAAGGAGAAUAAUUUAAUGGAACUUUAAGCGGAUCUUCCCCCCCAUUGUAACCUAUAAAGGACUAACAGAUGAUUGUUGAAAGUCCAUGGAAAAUCCUUAAGAACCCUUUCUAUGUCCAUAACAUGAAAAAAUUGAAAUAAAUACCAUUUUUCUCCCAAAUCUCGGAUCUAAACCCCACGAACCAGAUGCCACAGAUUUGUCAUUGUACUUUUUAUAGCUGGAAAGUGAAUAAUAAUUGCUGUUAAAAAAAACCUACUAAUUGAAAUUCACCCCUUUCAUUACCCGAGCCAGGAUCUAAAUGGAUCUGCAAAAUUUCAUCUUCUUCUUCAUUGAGUGACGGAUCUGCUAACUUGUUUACCAUUGAUGCAGGUUAAUGGUGACUUGACGAAACACAGACUUGCAAAAAGAUGAAAAUAUGGGACAAAAAAGACAAGAAAACAAGUAAGACCUAAACGAUCAUGCCAGCGGUGGCAGACUUAAGAAUGCUAGGGUAGCAGACGAGUUUAAAUUUAUAAUUUUUUUAAAUCUAAAGAAUAUAUAAAGAAAGUUAAAUUUUUCGUAA